UGUACAAAGGUAGCAUAAUCAUUUGUCUUUUAAUUGAAGUCUGGAAUGAAUGGUUUGAUGAAAAAUUUACUUUCUUUAUUUUAAAAAAAUAAUUUGAUUUUUUGAUCAAAAAGUUAAAAUAUAAUUAUAGGACGAGAAGACCCUAUAGAACUUUAUUUCAAUUUAUAAAAAUAAAAUUUUGGUGAUGAAUUUUUAUUUUUUUAUAGGAAUUUUGUUGGGGUGAUGGAAAAAAUUUUAUAACUUUUUUUUAUAUAAUCAUUUAUAUAUGAUUUUUUUGAUCCUUUACUAUGGAUAAAAGAUUAAGUUACCUUAGGGAUAACAGCGUUAUUAUUUUAGAGAGUUCAUAUUGAUAAAAUAGUUUGCGACCUCGAUGUUGGAUUAAAAUAAGUUUCAGGAGUAGAAUAUUGAAGAUCUAGGUCUGUUCGACCUUUAAAUUUUUACAUGAUCUGAGUUCAAACCGGAGA
rnacentral:rRNA from 1 species